UACAGAGGGUGCGAGCGUUGUUCGGAAUUAUUGGGCGUAAAGGGCGCGUAGGCGGCGCCACAAGUCACUUGUGAAAACUCUGGGCUCAACCCAGAGCCUGCAGGCGAAACUGUGGUGCUGGAGUAUGGGAGAGGUGCGUGGAAUUCCCGGUGUAGCGGUGAAAUGCGUAGAUAUUCGCAAGAACACCAGUGGCGAAGGCGGCUCACUGGCCCGGUACUGACGCUGAGGUGCGGAAAGCGUGGGGAGCAAACAGG
rnacentral:rRNA from 1 species